rnacentral:rRNA from 1 species
GACGAACGCUGGCGGCGUGCUUAACACAUGCAAGUCGAACGAAGAGCGAUGGAAGCUUGCUUCUAUCACUCUUAGUGGCGAACGGGUGAGUAACGCGUAAUCAACCUGCCCUUCAGAGGGGGACAACAGUUGGAAACGACUGCUAAUACCGCAUACGAUCUAAUCUCGGCAUCGAGGAUAGAUGAAAGGUGGCCUCUACAUGUAAGCUAUCACUGAAGGAGGGGAUUGCGUCUGAUUAGCUAGUUGGAGGGGUAACGGCCCACCAAGGCGAUGAUCAGUAGCCGGUCUGAGAGGAUGAACGGCCACAUUGGGACUGAGACACGGCCCAGACUCCUACGGGAGGCAGCAGUGGGGAAUCUUCCGCAAUGGACGAAAGUCUGACGGAGCAACGCCGCGUGAGUGAUGACGGCCUUCGGGUUGUAAAGCUCUGUUAAUCGGGACGAAAGGCCUUCCUGCGAACAGUUAGAAGGAUUGACGGUACCGGAAUAGAAAGCCACGGCUAACUACGUG